AAAAAAUACUCGGGCAGACGAUGAUCCCCCAAGUGACAGGCUGAUAAUGAAGCUGGAGCUGAGUGCAAGUAUUGCAAGUAUGAUAGCUGUAUGUGAGACUAGGAGGUGGUGAAGAGGGCAACCGCCUUUCUGCUCAAGAUAGUGAUGCUUCUGGCCACAAUGAGUCAUCUGGGAAGUCCAGCUAGAAUGUCAAGAAGGGAUUUAAUCUUUUUUGUACUAUACAGUGAAGUAGUUACUCAGUAAUAUGGAAUCUGGCUGAAAAUCUAUUCCGGUUGUUUUCAGCCAAAAAGGACAAUUUGGAAAAUGAAGUCUGAGCCACCAGAAACUGUUUCCUUGGGCUGCGCUGCUCUACGUGAUAGAAAGCCUGGGUACUGGAAGAAAGAAUACCUCUUCAAACAAAUAGCUGCUGUCAAAAUGAGAGUAAGGCGACUUGUUAAACCUGUAGAUCCUUCUACAGGUCUUCCAUGUAAAAACAAAGAAGCUAUGAAAGCCUCUGGCUUGAGGUGGAGAAUUGUUCUAAAGGACAAAAAUGGAAAGGAACACGUAAUGGAGAAGGCAAACCUGUCGAUUAAGGACACAUCUGUUACUAUACUUUGGUAUAGUACAAAUUGGCCAUGCUUAGACAUCCUGUCAAGCCUGAAACUGUUUGGAGUUAUGCCAUUGCUUCCUGAGCAAAGCAGAGCUCCCAGCAAGAAUGGGUGUGUAUGUGAAUGGAGGGAACUUGGUGUUUGGCUGCGAGUACAAUAUAAGUAUAUGCAUAUAAAAACAAUAGCCCACAGCACAAUGUGGGAUAGCUGUUGUUUUGUAACUUAAGUGUGUACUAUAUUCUUCUGGCAUUAUAUUCUGAGCAAAGAUGUUUAAAUUAAAAGUGUGUAUUUGAGGUAUGUACGUAUUUGGUUGCUGUC